GAAGCAAGACCGUGAGGUGGAGGCAAAACUCAAAAACUUGUCUCAGUUCGGAUUGUAGGCUGAAACUCGCCUACAUGAAGCUGGAGUUGCUAGUAAUCGCGAAUCAGCAUGUCGCGGUGAAUACGUUCCCGGGCCUUGUACACACCGCCCGUCACACCAUGAGAGUUGGCAAUACCCAACGUACGUGAUCUAACCCGCAAGGGAGGAAGCGUCCUAAGGUAGGGUCAGCGAUUGGGGUGAAGUCGUAACAAGGUAUC
rnacentral:rRNA from 1 species